rnacentral:rRNA from 1 species
AGAGUUUGAUCCUGGCUCAGGACGAACGCUGGCGGCGUGCCUAAUACAUGCAAGUCGAACGCUUCUUUCCUCCCGAGUGCUUGCACUCAAUUGGAAAGAGGAGUGGCGGACGGGUGAGUAACACGUGGGUAACCUACCCAUCAGAGGGGGAUAACACUUGGAAACAGGUGCUAAUACCGCAUAACAGUUUAUGCCGCAUGGCAUAAGAGUGAAAGGCGCUUUCGGGUGUCGCUGAUGGAUGGACCCGCGGUGCAUUAGCUAGUUGGUGAGGUAACGGCUCACCAAGGCCACGAUGCAUAGCCGACCUGAGAGGGUGAUCGGCCACACUGGGACUGAGACACGGCCCAGACUCCUACGGGAGGCAGCAGUAGGGAAUCUUCGGCAAUGGACGAAAGUCUGACCGAGCAACGCCGCGUGAGUGAAGAAGGUUUUCGGAUCGUAAAACUCUGUUGUUAGAGAAGAACAAGGACGUUAGUAACUGAACGUCCCCUGACGGUAUCUAACCAGAAAGCCACGGCUAACUACGUGCCAGCAGCCGCGGUAAUACGUAGGUGGCAAGCGUUGUCCGGAUUUAUUGGGCGUAAAGCGAGCGCAGGCGGUUUCUUAAGUCUGAUGUGAAAGCCCCCGGCUCAACCGGGGAGGGUCAUUGGAAACUGGGAGACUUGAGUGCAGAAGAGGAGAGUGGAAUUCCAUGUGUAGCGGUGAAAUGCGUAGAUAUAUGGAGGAACACCAGUGGCGAAGGCGGCUCUCUGGUCUGUAACUGACGCUGAGGCUCGAAAGCGUGGGGAGCAAACAGGAUUAGAUACCCUGGUAGUCCACGCCGUAAACGAUGUCGACUUGGAGGCUGUUUCCUUGAGAAGUGGCUUCCGGAGCUAACGCGUUAAGUCGACCGCCUGGGGAGUACGGCCGCAAGGUUAAAACUCAAAUGAAUUGACGGGGGCCCGCACAAGCGGUGGAGCAUGUGGUUUAAUUCGAUGCAACGCGAAGAACCUUACCUACUCUUGACAUCCAGAGAACUUAGCAGAGAUGCUUUGGUGCCUUCGGGAACUCUGAGACAGGUGCUGCAUGGCUGUCGUCAGCUCGUGUUGUGAAAUGUUGGGUUAAGUCCCGCAACGAGCGCAACCCUUAUCCUUUGUUGCCAGCGGUUAGGCCGGGAACUCAAAGGAGACUGCCAGUGAUAAACUGGAGGAAGGUGGGGAUGACGUCAAGUCAUCAUGGCCCUUACGAGUAGGGCUACACACGUGCUACAAUGGCGCAUACAAAGAGAAGCGACCUCGCGAGAGCAAGCGGACCUCAUAAAGUGCGUCGUAGUCCGGAUUGGAGUCUGCAACUCGACUCCAUGAAGUCGGAAUCGCUAGUAAUCGUGGAUCAGAAUGCCACGGUGAAUACGUUCCCGGGCCUUGUACACACCGCCCGUCACACCAUGGGAGUGGGUUGCAAAAGAAGUAGGUAGCUUAACCUUCGGGAGGGCGCUUACCACUUUGUGAUUCAUGACUGGGGUGAAGUCGUAACAAGGUAACCGUAGGGGAACCUGCGGUUG